rnacentral:rRNA from 1 species
UACGGGGGGGGCAAGCGUUGUUCGGAAUUACUGGGCGUAAAGGGCUCGUAGGCGGCCAACUAAGUCGGAUGUGAAAUCCCCAGGCUCAACUUGGGAACUGCAUCCGAUACUGGAUGGCUUGAAUCCGGGAGAGGGAUGCAGAGUUCCAGGUGUAGCGGUGAAAUGCGUAGAUAUCGGGAGGAACACCAGUGGCGAAGGCGGCUGUCUGGGCCAGUUCUGACGCUGAGGCGCGAAAGCGUGGGGAGCAAACAGG